rnacentral:misc_RNA from 1 species
GAUGAAGAACGUAGCGAAAUGCGAAAAGUAGUGUGAAUUGCAGAAUUCAGUGAAUCAUCGAAUCUUUGAACGCACAUUGCGCCCGCCAGUAUUCUUGCGGGCAUGACUGUUCGAGCGUCAUUACAACCCUCAGGCCCCCGGGCCUGGCGUUGGGGAUCGGCGGAAGCCCCCUGCGGGCACAACGCCGUCCCCCAAAUACAGUGGCGGUCCCGCCGCAGCUUCCAUUGCGUAGUAGCUAACACCUCGCAACUGGAGAGCGGCGCGGCCACGCCGUAAAACACCCAACUUCUGAAUGUUGACCUCGAAUCAGGUAGGAAUACCCGCUGAACUUAAGCAUAUCAAUAAGCGGAGGA